UCCGCGGAUCCCUCCGCCCUUCUAGUCACGGAACCGGGCGAACCAGCCCGUAAACCGUUGACAAGCCUAUAAGCAUGCAGAGUGAUCAACUGCUGGGCUUUGACCUGUUUGAAAACAAACACAGCAGGAUCUUUUGAUGUGUCAGCACAUCAACACUCUGUCACCAAGGCUCACGUGGGUAAAUGCAAAGAUGACAAUUCAAGCUUCAUGUGGUAUGGGACACUUCUUACUAAUAUGGGCUCAAUUUCUGAUUUUCUUGCUUUAUUCAUGACAGAUCUUUUAACAGGAUUUCAAUACUCAAUUCAGAGAACUCUUGAGUAUCAUCCUUACUAUAGGCCAAAAUAAUUAGAACAAUAUGAAGCCAUCUGUGCCAAAAGGAAGAAUUGGUGCCAUGAGGCAGAGAGGAAGGAUCUAACAUUGGUGUGUUCAACUGUAGAUUGUGCCAGUGAAUCUGCUGUGUGUGGUGUUCUCAGCCUGCUCAGUACGGCAGGCUUAAAGAGAGACCUCAGAAAGAUAGAACCCCUUCCUGGCAUCUCGUGCUGUAAUCAUUGUGUAUCCUCAUAAAAAGGUACUGUAUGUCUCUUUCGUUAGGGAAGGAGCAUCAGUAUCUCGGUCUCCCUAUCAACAUGGGGAGAGCAACAGUGCCUGGAGGUCUUAGUGCCUGUUAAACUUGGCAUAGUGCAAAUGCAGAGUAAAAAGUCUGCUCCCAAAAUAGCAUCAAGAUAAAAAUGUUUGCAAAGGGGUUUAUUACUAAUUCAUAGCAAAGUACAAAUAAUUCUGAAUAAGGAAAUCUUGUAAUGUGUUACACCAAAAAAAAAAAAAAAA